AGUUGGUGGAGCGAUUUGUCUGGUUAAUUCCGAUAACGAACGAGACUCUGGCAUGUUAAAUAGUCGCGGAAGUAUUUUUGCUUGCCGAUUUGACUUCUUAGAGGGACAAGUGAUUCUAAUCACACGAGAUUGAGCAAUAACAGGUCU
rnacentral:rRNA from 1 species